rnacentral:rRNA from 1 species
GACGAACGCUGGCGGCGUGCUUAACACAUGCAAGUCGAACGGAAAGGCCCUGCUUGCAGGGUGCUCGAGUGGCGAACGGGUGAGUAACACGUGGGUGAUCUGCCCCUUACUUUGGGAUAAGCCUGGUAAACUGGGUCUAAUACUGGAUAGGACCAUGCUGUAGGUGGUGUGUUGGAAAGAUUAGUUUCGGUAAGGGAUGAGCUCGCGGCCGAUCAGCUUGUUGUUGGGGUAAUGGCCUAACAAGGCGUCGACGGGUAGCCGGCCUGAGAGGGUGGACGGCCACAUUGGGACUCCGAUACGGCCCAGAAUCCUACGGGAGGCAGCAGUGGGGAAUAUUGCAAAAUGGGCGCAAGCCUGAUGCAGCGACGCCCCGUGGGGGAUGAAGGCCUUCGGGUUGUAAACUCCUUUCAGCCAUGACGAAGCCCUUGUGGUGACGGUAGUGUUAGAAGAAGCACCGGCUAACUACGUG